rnacentral:rRNA from 1 species
AUCGAACGCUGGCGGCAGGCCUAAUACAUGCAAGUCGAACGAGUGGCGGACUGGCGAGUAAUGUCUGGGAAACUGCCUGAUGGAGGGGGAUAACUACUGGAAACGGUAGCUAAUACCGCAUACCAUCGGAUGUGCCCAGAUGGGAUUAGCUAGUAGGUGGGGUAAAGGCUCACCUAGGCGACGAUCCCUAGCUGGUCUGAGAGGAUGACCGGCCACACUGGAACUGAGACACGGUCCAGACUCCUACGGGAGGCAGCAGUGGGGAAUAUUGCACAAUGGGCGAAAGCCUGAUGCAGCCAUGCCGCGUGUAUGAAGAAGGCCUUCGGGUUGUAAAGUACUUUCAGCAGGGAGGCGGUACCCGCAGAAGAAGCAACGGCUAACUCCGUGCCAGCCGCCGCGGUAAUAC